rnacentral:lncRNA from 1 species
GCAAAUGAAAAAGAUUAUAUAAUGAAUGAAGACGAUAACAGAGGAUUCAAUCCAAAAUCAGAAGAGAAGCUCAUUUAUAUACAGAAUAUGGUGUAGAAUAAUUGGUCUCAGUAUCAGAUAGAGGCCCUCGCCCCUCAGGCUUAGCCAAUAUUCAAAACUGGAGAAUCUGAAACACAAACAUUAUACACUAAAUAAGCGAAGCAAAAUAAAGUGGGAUAAAUUAAACUUACACAUGCACAGAUGCACUGUUGUUGUUGCCUUAAAUGAACUUGUUAAUUAAACCACCGCAGAGUGCCAUAACUGCUAUAGCCAAGGCAGCCAGACACAACAGUAACCCCGCAGGCCACAGCAAAACGUUUCGACAACCUCAAAGCUCUUUUUGUCUUUUCCUAUGUGUUUCUGUGACUGUUAAGAACCAAAAAAACCAAACCCAAAAAGAAAGAAACAGAAAGGCAGCUCAGCACAGAGAGAGAGAGCAAGAGACCAAAAAAAACCCAACAUUGUCUUGCAUGCAUUUACAUGCAUCUCUCUUUCUUUGCAUGUACACAAGUGUCAUUGGUCCCCCCCCC